UGGGGAAUUUUGGACAAUGGGCGAAAGCCUGAUCCAGCCAUGCCGCGUGAGUGAAGAAGGCCUUCGGGUUGUAAAGCUCUUUUAGUCGGAAAGAAAGAGUUGCAAUGAAUAAUUGUGAUUUAUGACGGUACCGACAGAAAAAGCACCGGCUAACUACGUGCCAGCAGCCGCGGUAAUACGUAGGGUGCGAGCGUUAAUCGGAAUUACUGGGCGUAAAUGGUGCGCAGGCGGUCUUGCAAGUCAGAUGUGAAAGCCCCGGGCUUAACCUGGGAAUGGCGUUUGAAACUACAAGACUAGAGUGCAGCAGAGGGGAGUGGAAUUCCAUGUGUAGCAGUGAAAUGCGUAGAGAUGUGGAAGAACACCGAUGGCGAAGGCAGCUCCCUGGGUUGACACUGACGCUCAUGCACGAAAGCGUGGGGAGCAAACA
rnacentral:rRNA from 1 species